CUAGCAGGCAUCCACUCACUGUGUUUGGAAUUGCUCUCUACAAGAAAACUGCCCACUUACUACUAACUUGGCCAAGAAUGAAUUGAACGUAGUUGACCUGUAAAAUAAAAACAUCCAAUGUUUCCUGAUGAAAUACAAGCUGAAAUGUAGUCACUGGAAAAGUUUGUAAGUUCAUAUAUUCAAAACAAGACAAAGGCAAGUAAAAUGAAGCUUUCUUCAUAGACAGACUUUCAGGAAGUACAAAUUAUAUUUCUGCACUGACCAGGGAAAAGAAAUCAUUGCAUCUGUGGAACAUAUAUCUGGAGUCACUGUACUUUGAGGAGCAAGGGAUAAAUUUAGGCUAAGACCAUCUAGGUUAUACCCAACAUAUGGGCCACCUUCUCAAUACUUUGUUUAAAUUUGUUUCCCUAGGUAAUUAGAGAUUGGCAAAGGUUUAUCCUGGAUAGUGGGCAUAAAAGAGGCGUAAAUUGUCUCUGCAAUGACUGAUAUGUAUUUAUUCACUGAAAAAGUGACUAUCAUUUUCCCUGAUCUUGACCACUAAAUUGUAAAUUGGUAAACUGGUUUUCUCUGUAGUUGUAUACAAAUAAUGGAGGCUUAGAGAACCUUCGUUGAAAUAAAUUCCCAAUGGUUUGGAGACCAAUAAAGAACAUGCAUGUGUAACCUUAUCCAUAGGCUGUUACUAUGCUAAUCCCAUAUUUUGAUGAUUUUUUGCUUUGAAGAAAGAAUGUCUAAAUUGUAUCUCUAGGGGGAAAAUGUUAGUAAAAAAUUAAAAGUGUGUGUAUUGGGCCGGCCUGGUGGCACAGCGGUGAAGCCUGCACAUUGUUUUGGCGACCUGGGUUUGCGAGUUCGGAUCCCGGGUGUGGACAUGGCACCGCUUGGCAAGCCAUGCUGGGGUAGGCGUCCCACAUAUAAAGUACAGGAAGAUGGGCAUGGGUUUUAGCUCAGGGCCAGUCUUCCUCAGCAAAAAGAGGAGGAUUGCUAGCAGAUGUUAGCUCAGGGCUGAUCUUCCUCAAAAAAAAAAAAAAAAAAG
rnacentral:lncRNA from 1 species